rnacentral:rRNA from 1 species
UACGAAGGGAGCUAGCGUUGUUCGGAAUCACUGGGCGUAAAGCGCACGUAGGCGGAUUUGUUAGUCAGGGGUGAAAUCCCGGGGCUCAACCUCGGAACUGCCUUUGAUACUGCAAAUCUCGAGUCCGGAAGAGGUGGGUGGAAUUCCUAGUGUAGAGGUGAAAUUCGUAGAGAUCGGGAGGAACACCGGUGGCGAAGGCGGGUCUCUGGGCAAUUCCUGACGCUGAGGCGCGAAAGCGUGGGGAGCAAACGGG